GGAGAGCUAUUCUCACCAGUCAGAGCCUUGGGGGUUUCUGCUGCUGGAAGAUGUUUUUGCUUUUUGGCCUCACAGAAACAUCAUCUGGCACCUCUGGGGAAUUCCAAGCUUGCCAAUGGGGAGACGGAGAAAUAAUGCCCUCAGAUUGGGUCAUUGAUGGCCACCUUGAUCAAUGAGAACCGAAAGGGAAUUGCAGCCCCUCUUGUGCACCCGAGUCAGGAGGCUCAGGUGAAAGGGGCUAGAGGAGGGGGGCCGUGAGGUCACGGCCCUGGGCCGGCCCCAUUGGAGACGCGCGCCCCUCAACCCCCUUGAUGCCCCCUUGACUCCCCACAUCUCGCGCUCGUCUGUGAAACCGGAGCCCACCUCGCCUCCGUUCAGUCCACAGACGUUUUCGCCAAGGACUUGGGACCUGCUGGCUGUGACAGGGGCUGUGUGUGCAACCGUGAGACGUGGCAGCCUAGAGGGAGCCUUUGGGGAUCGAGAGAGAUGAGCUGCUCUGAGGGCUUUGCAGUUACACCCACCGCUCCCCUCAGCAUCUGCAUCCCAGGGCGGACGUGCUGCAGGGGCCCCUCCCUCACUGGGAGGCUCGGAGGCCAGGAGGCCUGGCCUUUCUCCCGAACUUUCCCUGGGGCACCCAGGCGACGCCCUCCUGGCCACAGGCACCCCAGGUAACCGACUGGGCCCUGGGCACUCACCUUGGUUCUGGGAACACGUUGCCAUUUUCACCGGCAGCCUUUGAGGCCUUGCUCGACAGGACUAAUGGGGAGGGUGGCGGGCAUGGGGCCCACAGAUGGGGCGAUGGCUGGGGACAGAAGCCCUUUCAGGCGGCCCUGUUCUUCCGGGCGAUGCGCCCAUGGCUCUCUGGCCCCUGCCCGACGUCCUGCCUGACUCCCGUCCCUCUCUUAGGCUCCUCCGGGCUCUGCCGCCACCCACAGGCAGGAGGGCUCCAGCCCCUGAGCCCUCCCCACCCCGGCCCAGGCGGCCACCCCCGCACACUUUCUCUGGGGGAGAAGCAUCCCCCGGGCGCCCCUGGAGGAAACCCUCUGGUGAGGCUGGCUUGCUAGGCCCGAGGCUGCGGCUGGCUACGCAUCUGUGCCAAUGAGAUGAGUCUGCCGUCUGGCGAGACAGAGGCACCAUUCAGGGCCGAGGGACCAUCCUUUCCCAGAGAGCGGGGCUGGGAGGGGCCCGGCCCCGAGGCCCCAGGUUCCCAGAGAGAGGCCUGCAGGUGGGGAGAAGAGGCGGCCGCAGGCAGGGCGGACGGGCUUCUCAGGAUUCCUGCCCUGCUCCGGGCCGCUCCCCGGGGUGCCGGCAGCAAGGCCUGCUUCCCCCCACUUCGUCCAGGGCCGCUCUGUGACCUGGGACAUCAUGGUCUCUGUGAGUCUGAGUGAGCCCGGGGGGCGGCGCGGGGGACCAGUCCUGACCGCCCAGCCGGCCAGCCUCCCAAAUGUCCCCUCCAGGUGACUGCCUAACAGAAACCUCCAGUUCACUUCAGUUUACUGCUUAGUCCUCCCGGCUCCUUCUGUCAGGGGCCAAGUCCCGCGUGGGUCUCGGGUUUCUGCCCAUUUUGUGAACGGGGACACUGGCUGCCUUUGCUUCCGACCGGCCGUCUUUUUACGGUGCUUGAACAGCGCCAGCCUUGGUGACACAGAAGGACUUGUUGGGCACAAAGGUCAGCUGGUGCCGCCCUGGUGCCCCGUGAGCCUGCAGGAGGGUGAAGCCUCUGGCCUGUGCCAGGUCUGGUCACCUGGGUUAAGCGCUGUCCUUUUGUUCUAAAACGCGGGCGUGUCCAGGGGAGAAGUCUCAGCAAACAAAAAGCACUUUCUCCUAAGAAGGCCCUUAACAAAAACAAGGGCAGUGUGGUCCCCCGAAGGCUCCAGAUGGCCCGGCUGCCAGGACAGCAGGAGGGGCAGGGGAGCUCAGGGACGCCCGGAGGAAGGACCAGCCCCGGGACGUCCCUGUCCCUGGGCAGCCUGUAGAGCAGAGCCUCUGAGAGUGUGUCUCAGGGAAAUUACAUCCACUUUUCACAGCUUCUGUGGGAAGCUGGGUCUUUAGUGAGCGCUUUAUUUUCUCUUGGUCGGCCCUGCCUGAGCCCGCUGCCUCAGCAGGACCGGUUGGUGGCCCCAAAGCCAGGGACACCCCACGAGUCCUGGCCAAAACCAGCCUGCAGGGCACCGAGGCCCCAGUCCCAGGCCGGGCAGGGCCUCGUGGGCCUGAGGUCCCUGGUGGACCCGGCGGCAUCCCCCCUGCCCCUGCGCUCUCAAAGCCCCUCGGCGACGGGCGUGGCUCGUCCCGGGUCUGGCGGCAGUGUUCUGCCGCUCCUGGUCUGGCCAGUGGUCAAACCUGCAGGGUCUGACACCCCGAUGGAUAAAAGGGGUGUGCGCGCCAUGACGCGCGUCUGUAAAGUCUACGCUGGUGAAGCCCCAGCAGGCUCGGAGCAGACGGGCGUUCCUUGCUGACAGCUUCAAACCCAAGCUAAGGCGUUGUCCCCAGUUAAGAGCUAACGUGCUAAUGAGUAGCCAAUUUGUUUUUUUUAAAGUCGAUCUAUUUGUGAAAUAUCAAUAAAGCCUACGUUUUUAAUAUAUUUUUAAAA